GGCUGUUAGCAGCAUGGCUAAGCGGUUUUGUUGUGGUCAUACAAUAGGCUAAUGCCGCACGUAUGCUUUAUUGUAGUGUUUCGCAACGGAAAGAAAAGGGUCAAAAACAAACUUUGUUGUGACAGACUGUCUACCCUCAGAUCUGUUUCUUGAUUUAUAUCCACACUGUUACCCUCUCUCUCUCUGACACUGUUACCUUGAGGUAGGAAGCCUUUUGCUGAAGUCCGAGUGUGGAGCUGUAGGCCAAAAGGCCGAGAGGCCUGACUUUCCUUCUCUUUUUGAGUGUGUUUCUGUGCACUGCGUGCUGUGUGACCACCGACAGAAAUUUCACUGAGCACUGAGUGAGUGUGUUGUGAUUGAGCACAUGCAUGGUGUGGAUAUUUAAAUCUACUUCUGUUUCAGCCUGUCUUGUGCUGAUCAGCUGCAGCCCUGCAUGAGUUUUUGAUUUUUCUUUUUGUUCAUUCUGAAACUUUAUUUUACUGGUUGUGUCAAUAGAUUAAAUUGUAUCUUUUUUUUGUACCCAUGUCUCCUGCUCAUUCAUUAAUUGGUAGAACGAACUUGUGAUCCUUAUAGUAUUGUGAGGUGAUUCAUAUUUCCCUGGGUGAAAGUCCCAGGGUGGCGUAGUCUGUUCAUUUACAU